GAGCAGACUGACCUCACUGUGUCUGUCGGUGGUGAAGCAUGCAAAUGCCUAAGUUAAAAAUUACAAAGUGUGAAGCUGGAUGAACACAGCAGACCAAGCAGCAUCUCAGGAGCACAAAAGCUGACGUUUCAGGCCUAGACCCUUCACCAGAAAAAAACAUGCAAGCAGACAUCACUUCCCCUUGUGAUGGAAUGUGGAACUCCAGAGGGUUUGCAGAGGACCUCAGUAAUCACUUAGCACGUACCACACCUCCUUUGCAACAGAUAUUGUCUUUCCAACAAUGCUGUGAAUCACCUUUUUCAGCAACUUGGGAGAGCCAAGAAUUAAUGGCAUUGCGUUUGCAUUUUCAACAGUUCGCCCAAUUUGAGACACUAGAUCCAUCCAGAUGCUGGAAUAAGCUGCCAGGGGAAGCAGUGGAGCAUGGUACAGUCACAACAUUUAAAAGCACCUUGUUGUUCUCAUUCUCAGACUUGUUACUGCACCUCAUUAUUCUCUUUCUUUGGAUUGUCUCAGCACCUGAUUUCUCUUAAUGUGUUGUUGGGAAAUUGCUAGAAUGCAUUAUUAAGGAAGAAAAUAAAGUACAAUCUGGAAAUCA